GACGAACGCUGGCGGCGUGCCUAACACAUGCAAGUCGAGCGGGGUGGAGGCGAGAGGUAACUCAAGCUUCUACCUAGCGGCGGACGGGUGAGUAACGCGUGGGCAACCUGCCUCAAGGAUCGGGAUAACAGCUCGAAAGGGCUGCUAAUACCGGAUAUGCCUAUGGCCUCGCAUGGGGCUGUGGGCAAAGGGGAAACCCGCCUUGAGAUGGGCCCGCGUCCCAUCAGCUAGUUGGUGAGGUGAAGGCUCACCAAGGCGACGACGGGUAGCCGGCCUGAGAGGGUGACCGGCCACACUGGGACUGAGACACGGCCCAGACUCCUACGGGGGCAGCAGUGGGGGAUCUUGCACAAUGGGCGAAGGCCUGAUGCAGCGACGCCGCGUGAGCGAAGAAGGCCUUGGUUGUAAAGCUCUGUCUGGAGGGACGAAGAAAGUGACGGUACUCCGGAGGAAGCCACGGCUAACUACGUGCCAGCAGCCGCGGUAACUAGUCUACG
rnacentral:rRNA from 1 species